CCUACGGGAGGCAGCAGUCGAGAAUCAUUCACAAUGGGGGAAACCCUGAUGGUGCGACGCCGCGUGGGGGAAUGCAGGUCUUCGGAUUGUAAACCCCUGUCAUGUGGGAGCAAAUUAAAAAGAUAGUACCACAAGAGGAAGAGACGGCUAACUCUGUGCCAGCAGCCGCGGUAAUACAGCGGUCUUAAGCGUUGUUCGGAAUCACUGGGCGUAAAGCGUGCGGAGGCUGUUUCGUAAGUCGUGUGUGAAAGGCGAGGGCUCAACCCGCGGAGGGCAGUUGAUACUGGGAGUCUAGAGUAAUGGAGGGGGAACCGGAAUGCUCGGUGUAGCAGUGAAAUGCAUAGAUAUCGAGAGGAACACUGGUGGCGAAGGCAGGUGCCUGGACAUUAACUGACGCUGAGGCACGAAGGUGAGGGGAGCGAAAGGGAUUAGAUACCCUUGUAGUC
rnacentral:rRNA from 1 species